rnacentral:rRNA from 1 species
GACGAACGCUGGCGGCGUGCUUAACACAUGCAAGUCGAACGGAAAGGCCCUGCUUUUGUGGGGUGCUCGAGUGGCGAACGGGUGAGUAACACGUGAGUAACCUGCCCUUGACUUUGGGAUAACUUCAGGAAACUGGGGCUAAUACCGGAUAGGAGCUCCUGCUGCAUGGUGGGGGUUGGAAAGUUUCGGCGGUUGGGGAUGGACUCGCGGCUUAUCAGCUUGUUGGUGGGGUAGUGGCUUACCAAGGCUUUGACGGGUAGCCGGCCUGAGAGGGUGACCGGCCACAUUGGGACUGAGAUACGGCACAGACUACUACGGGAGGCAGCAGUGGGGAAUAUUGCACAAUGGGCGGAAGCCUGAUGCAGCAAAGCCGCGUGCGGGAUGACGGCCUUCGGGUUGGAAACCGAUUUCGCCUGUGACGAAGCGUGAGUGACGGUAAUGGGUAAAGAAGCACCGGCUAACUACGUG